rnacentral:rRNA from 1 species
UACGAACUGUGCGAACGUUAUUCGGAAUCACUGGGCUUACAGGGUGCGUAGGCGGCUCAACAAGUCAGGUGUGAAAGCCCCCGGCUCAACCGGGGAACUGCGCUUGAAACUGUUAGGCUCGAGUCAGCUAGAGGUACACGGAACUUCCAGUGGAGCGGUGAAAUGUGUUGAUAUUGGAAGGAACACCGGAGGCGAAAGCAGUGUACUGGGGCUGGUCUGACGCUGAGACGCGAAAGCCAGGGGAGCGAACGGG